AGUGAACGCUGGCGGUAGGCCUAACACAUGCAAGUCGAACGGCAGCACAGUAAGAGCUUGCUCUUACGGGUGGCGAGUGGCGGACGGGUGAGGAAUACAUCGGAAUCUACUUUUUCGUGGGGGAUAACGUAGGGAAACUUACGCUAAUACCGCAUACGACCUACGGGUGAAAGCAGGGGAUCUUCGGACCUUGCGCGAUUGAAUGAGCCGAUGUCGGAUUAGCUAGUUGGCGGGGUAAAGGCCCACCAAGGCGACGAUCCGUAGCUGGUCUGAGAGGAUGAUCAGCCACACUGGAACUGGGACACGGUCCAGACUCCUACGGGAGGCAGCAGUGGGGAAUAUUGGACAAUGGGCGCAAGCCUGAUCCAGCCAUACCGCGUGGGUGAAGAAGGCCUUCGGGUUGUAAAGCCCUUUUGUUGGGAAAGAAAAGCAGCAGGUUAAUACCCCGCUGUUCUGACGGUACCCAAAGAAUAAGCACCGGCUAACUUCG
rnacentral:rRNA from 1 species